CCUCCUUUCUAAGGAAAACUAAAAUUAUAUUUUCGAAUUCUAAAAAAUCGAUACUGUGACCGUCCACCGUCCUCUUCUCUCAAGGUGUACCUAAUAGUAACUCUGUGCAUGGGCCGCCGAGCUCAUCGUGGUGGUUAGCAGCCACCCUCUAUAAUGGUGAUGUCGUCAAAUACUAGUAUUCCUCCUCCCACCACCAUUACAGGAUAUUGGCGCAUCNGGUCGAGCGCCAGAUCGGCUUANAGGAGGUCAGGAGGUCAAUCCCGCUAUCCGCCAAUACUCCACGAGACAUCUAACUUAUAAAAUUGUGAAUAAUAUAAUAUCAAUAUCUAUAUCUAAAUGCGAACAUCUAUAAUGUUGAGAACUAACGUACCAAUAAUAAGAAUAUUCCACACAAAGUUUUUUUCUGUGCAUAAAUCAAGCGUUUAAGGGCGAGUGGCGGAUGCCUUGGCACUGUAAGACGAUGAAGGACGUGAUAUACUGCGAUAAGUUCGGGGAGCUGUAUGUAAGUUUGGAUCCGAAGAUUCCGAAUGGGGAACCCAAGGCGAAUCU
rnacentral:misc_RNA from 1 species